GACGAACGCUGGCGGCGUGCUUAACACAUGCAAGUCGAACGGUGAUGCUCCAGCUUGCUGGAGUGGAUCAGUGGCGAACGGGUGAGUAACACGUGAGCAACCUGCCCCAGACUCUGGAAUAAGCGCUGGAAACGGCGUCUAAUACUGGAUACGAAACUGGCCCGCAUGGGCAUGGUUUGGAAAGUUUUUCGGUUGGGGAUGGGCUCGCGGCCUAUCAGCUUGUUGGUGGGGUAAUGGCUCACCAAGGCGAUGACGGGUAGCCGGCCUGAGAGGGCGACCGGCCACACUGGGACUGAGAUACGGCCCAGACUCCUACGGGAGGCAGCAGUGGGGAAUAUUGCACAAUGGGCGGAAGCCUGAUGCAGCGACGCCGCGUGAGGGAUGACGGCCUUCGGGUUGUAAACCUCUUUCAGCUGGGAAGAAGCGAAAGUGACGGUACCUGGAGAAGAAGCACCGGCUAACUACGUG
rnacentral:rRNA from 1 species